rnacentral:rRNA from 1 species
AACGAACGCUGGCGGCAGGCCUAAUACAUGCAAGUCGAACGAAGCCUUCGGGCUUAGUGGCGCACGGGUGCGUAACGCGUGGGAACGUACCCCUGGGUGCGGAACAACGUCGGGAAACUGACGCUAAUACCGCAUAAUGACUCCGGUCCAAAGAUUUAUCGCCCAGGGAUCGGCCCGCGUUAGAUUAGCUAGUUGGUGGGGUAAUGGCCUACCAAGGCUACGAUCUAUAGCUGGUCUGAGAGGAUGAUCAGCCACACUGGGACUGAGACACGGCCCAGACUCCUACGGGAGGCAGCAGUAAGGAAUAUUGGACAAUGGAGGAAACUCUGAUCCAGCCAUGCCGCGUGAGUGAUGAAGGCCUUCGGGUUGUAAAGCUCUUUCAGGUGCGACGAUGAUGACGGUAACACCAGAAGAAGCCCGGCUAACUUCGUGCCAGCAGCCGCGGUAAUACGAAGGGGCGAGCGUUGUUCGGAUCACUGGCUUAAAGCGUGCGUA